GCCAGGUGUGGUGGUGCACACCUGCAGUCCCAGUUACUUGAGAGGCUGAGGCAGGAGGAUCACUUGAGCCUGGGAGCUUGAGGCUGCAGUGAGCUAAGAUGACACCACUGCACCCCAGCCUGGGUGACAGAGUGAGACCCUGUCUCUA
ensembl:misc_RNA Metazoa_SRP Metazoan signal recognition particle RNA